rnacentral:rRNA from 1 species
CACGUAGGGGGCAAGCGUUGUCCGGAUUUAUUGGGCGUAAAGAGCUCGUAGGCGGUUCGGUAAGUCGGGUGUGAAACCUCCAGGCUCAACCUGGAGAUGCCACCUGGUACUGCUGUGACUCGAGUCCGGUAGGGGAGCGUGGAAUUCCUGGUGUAGCGGUGAAAUGCGCAGAUAUCAGGAGGAACACCAGCGGCGAAGGCGGCGCUCUGGGCCGGAACUGACGCUGAGGAGCGAAAGCGUGGGUAGCAAACAGGG